CUAGCCCACCAUAAUCUAAUCCAUUCGAGUUUCAAACUUUCAAUGGCUUUGUUUCCAAAGUCCUCUUCUCUUCUCCUCUCCUUUCCUUUCCUUUCUUGCUUUAUCUACUGAUUCUAUUCCUGAUUUUCCAUACCUUUACUUGAUUUUUAGUUUUUUAUUUUUAUGCCAUUCCAAUGGGAUUAAUGCUUCCUGUAUCUAACUCCUUUUCAUCUUCACUGUUGUGUUCCUAAAUCUUGAUGAUUCUAAAUUGCUGGGAAAAGCUGGUGAAGAUGGCUGAUGCAGUUCUCAUUGGUCAAAAAGAUAGCCCGUGCCAGUUUCUGAUUAAUUUUUUGAUUGGGCUGGUUAUGCACUACAACUUCCAAUUUAAGUUUGAACUUGGUCAGCAUGCUUGCCAUUCAAAAUUUAUUUGGUUGCCUAACGGCUGUCAGUACUUGAUAUACCACAACAAUCGUCAAAGCUAAUAUAGUUUCUGAGUGGGAAGAGAACUUGUUUGUCCAUCAAGAGUAUGAGAACAUGCUCCCUUUCCUGACUUAUAUGAGGAUUUGAUUCAAGGAGCUUUCUUCUUGAUUAAUUUACUUUUCAAGUACUAAGAUUGGCAGAAAACAUUGAUGAUAUGUUAGAAAUCAGCUGCUUACUAGCUUGUGCUCAAAACCAUCAUUUCAGUAUUAUGAGAAACAAAAGGAUGUUGUUUGCCAUUAA